CCGGGCGAGCCGGGUCGCUGCCGCGGGCCCGGUCGCCUCCCGCGUCCCCAGGGCCGGGGCGCCGCGCUGCCCCCAUCCCGUCCCGUCCGGUCCGGUGUCGCGGCGCGGCCGUGGCGGUGCCCCGCGCCCCGUGCAGCCUCCUUCACCCGGCUGGCUUCCAGGGGUGCGCUCCCGGCAUGGAGGAGUGCUGAAGAAAAAGGGGAGAUAACACAAAAAAGCGCGUUUUCGGUUUCCUCCCCGCCUGGAAGGUGAGUGUUCACUGAAGUGCUGCUGCUCUCUCCUCCUGCCUCCUGCAGCGCGAGGGUCAGAGCGUCGCUGCGCAGCGCGUGCCUCCGUGGAGCGAUGGCGAGUCGCGCGGCCCUCGGCCCGCUGCUGCCUUUCCCGGGAUCUUGGGCCUCUCUGGAGUAGUUCGGCCCUGCCUGCAGACUGAAUUGCAACAGAAGAUUCAACUUGAAGAAAAGCAGGAGUUGUGCAGAGUUGCACUUGAAAAAGGAUCCACUGUGGAAGAGGCCGAUGGUUUUUGUGGGAUCACUACUUCUCUUAGCCUGUUUCCGACAACUGACCUCAUGGAAGCGUGGCGUGGCGUCACAGCCCGGAAAGUGGAUGUCAUAUUGACUCACAGUCAGAUUCCUGAUAGAUUUUAAUGGGUUGUGCACUUGAUCUCGCUACAGCAGUUCUGGUUGAAUGCCCUGCAGGUGCCCUCGCCUGUUCAGUCGGUGCCGGCCUGGGUAGGGACCGCUGCUGCCGGUGACGUGGAGUGGAAGGAUGUGCAUGCAUGUUAGCGUGUGUUUUGAGUGGGAAACCCUUAAAGUAGCUUUCACUGGGCCAUGUAAAAGUUUCUGAAACGCACAGCCGUGCACUCUGUGUGCGUACAGCUGUAAGAGUAGACACAAUAAAGCGUUGCCGAGUGGAUUGAGGGCUCUGCUC
rnacentral:lncRNA from 1 species